rnacentral:rRNA from 1 species
AACGAACGCUGGCGGCAUGCCUAACACAUGCAAGUCGAACGAGACCUUCGGGUCUAGUGGCGCACGGGUGCGUAACGCGUGGGAACCUGCCCUUAGGUUCGGAAUAACUCCCCGAAAGGGGUGCUAAUACCGGAUAAUGUCUUCGGACCAAAGAUUUAUCGCCUUUGGAUGGGCCCGCGUUGGAUUAGCUAGUUGGUAGGGUAAAAGCCUACCAAGGGGACGAUCCAUAGCUGGUCUGAGAGGAUGAUCAGCCACACUGGGACUGAGACACGGCCCAGACUCCUACGGGAGGCAGCAGUGGGGAAUGUUGGACAAUGGGCGAAAGCCUGAUCCAGCAAUGCCGCGUGAGUGAUGAAGGCCUUAGGGUUGUAAAGCUCUUUUACCCGGGAUGAUAAUGACAGUACCGGGAGAAUAAGCUCCGGCUAACUCCGUG